ACUUCCUUCACUUGUGUCUCGCCCUUUUUAAGUGGUAGUGCCAGGAAUUGCUGAUGGAAUCUGCCUCCCCCCCGCGCUCAAUGAGGGUCUUCCAGGUCACGUGACGAUGUAACCACGUCUUGAUGUCUCGACGUCACUCCCUGUGUUGUUGGCAAAUCCUUCCGAGUCAUGUUACAGUGUUAUUAAGUCCCGGCGUCACUUUUU